GCGGGUGGGCUCCGGCCUGAAGACAUCAUCGCCCUGCAAGAGAUACCCGCCCGGAAGUUGGAAGAAUCGUACAGACAUAUUGCAACACGUGGCUGAUGUACUGAAUGUAGAGACUUCCGAUUAUAUUUCCGCCCGGAGAAGGGUUCGGCCUCGGAGCAGCGACCAAUCAGGACUCACAAAAGCAGCAGCCAAUCAGGACCCAGAGUAGCAGCCAAUCAGCGCUCCGCCCGGCGGGCCCAAUGGAGGAAGCGCGUGAUUGGCUGUUGAGCUGAUUCGAAAGCGGAGGUGGCGCCGGCGGAAGCGGAAGUCGUGGCUGUGGCGCUCUGAGAGGAAGAUGCUCCCGCUAUCGCUGCUGAAGACGGCCCAGAACCACCCCAUGCUGGUGGAGCUCAAAAAUGGAGAGACCUACAACGGGCACCUGGUGAGCUGUGACAACUGGAUGAACAUCAACGUUAGGAGCAAAUCCCACAGGACCGUGGCCAGACAAUCCAUAAAACUCACAACAAGCCAGAUACACACACACACACACACGCACACACUCCACUUGCCUCAUUUCCAACAGACCUCUGAACAAACUUCUUAGGACGCCUGCCACAUAUGCAGGCUAAAUGUUAGGAACAUGGUUGGACAGCCCGAAAGACUCACAACAAGCCAUAUGUAUAUAUAUAUACACACACGCACACACACUCCACUUGCCUCAUUUCCAACAGACUUCUGAACGAACUUCUGAGGAUGACUGCAACAUAUACAGUCUAAACGUUAGGAGCGAAUCCUACUGGAACAUGGCCGGACAGCCCAAAAGACUCACAACAACCCUGUGAUAUAUAUACACACUCCACUUGCCUCAUUUCUAACAGACCUUUGAACAAACCUUUGAGGAUGCCUGCCACAUAUGCAGGCUAAAUGUUAGGAGCAAAUCCCACAGGAACGUGGCCAGACAAUCCAUAAAACUCACAACAAGCCAGAUACACACACACACACACACACACACACACUCCACUUGUCUCAUUUCCAACAGACCUCUGAACAAACUUCUUAGGACGCCUGCCACAUAUGCAGGCUAAAUGUUAGGAACAUGGUUGGACAGCCCGAAAGACUCACAACAAGCCAUGUAUAUACACACACACACACACACACACACACACACACACACACACAGACUUCACUUGCCUCAUUUCCAACAGACCUCUGAACAAACCUCUUAGGACGCCUGCCACAUAUGCAGACUAAAUGUUAGGAACAUGGUUGGACAGCCCGAAAGACUCGCAACAAGCCAGAUACACACACACACACACACUCCACUUGCCUCAUUUCCAACAGACUUCUGAACGAACUUCUGAGGAUGACUGCAACAUAUACAGUCUAAACGUUAGGAGCGAAUCCUACUGGAACAUGGCCGGACAGCCCAAAAGACUCACAACAACACUGUGAUAUAUAUACACACUCCGCUUGCCUCAUUUCCAACAUACCUCUGAGGAUGCGUGCCAUAUAUGCAGGCUAAACGUUAGGAGAGAAUCCCACUGUAACAUGGCCAGACAGCCCGAAGGACUCACAACAACCCAGUGAUAUAUAUACACACUCCACUUGCCUCAUUUCUAACAGACCUCUGAACGAACCUCUGAGGAUGCGUGCCACAUAUGCAGGCUAAACGUUAGGAGAGAAUCCCACUGUAACAUGGCCAGACAGCCCGAAGGACUCACAACAACCCAGUGAUAUAUAUACACACUCCACUUGCCUCAUUUCUAACAGACCUCUGAACGAACCUCUGAGGAUGCGUGCCACAUAUGCAGGCUAAACGUUAGGAGAGAAUCCCACUGUAACAUGGCCAGACAGCCAGAAGGACUCACAACAACCCAGUGAUAUAUAUACACACUCCACUUGCCUCAUUUCCAACAGACCUCUGAACAAACUUCUGAGGAUGCGUGCCACAUAUGCAGGCUAAACGUCAGGAGCGAAUCCCAUUGGAACAUGGCCGGACAGACCGAAGGACUCACAACAACCCAGUGAUAUAUAUACACACUCCACUUGCCUCAUUUCCAACAGACCUCUGAACGAACUUCUGAGGAUGCGUGCCACAUAUGCAGGCUAAACGUUAGGAGCGAAUCCCAAUGUAACAUGGCUGGACAGCCCGAAGGACUCACAACAACCCAGUGAUAUAUAUACACACUCCACUUGCCUCAUUUCCAACAGACCUCUGAACAAACUUCUGAGGAUGCGUGCCACAUAUGCAGGCUAAACGUCAGGAGCGAAUCCCAUUGGAACAUGGCCGGACAGACCGAAGGACUCAGAACAACACAGUGAUAUAUAUACACACUCCACUUGCCUCAUUUCCAACAGACCUCUGAACUAACUUCUGAGGAUACCUGCCACAUAUCUUGUAAGCCGCUCCGAGCCCUAGGGGAGUGGCGGCAUAU